rnacentral:tRNA from 8 species
GCCCUCGUAGCUCAGGGGAUAGAGCGUCUGCCUCCGGAGCAGAAGGCCGCAGGUUCGAAUCCUGCCGAGGGCAC